rnacentral:rRNA from 1 species
AUUGAACGCUGGCGGCACGCCUAACACAUGCAAGUCGAGCGGCAGCGAGACUAGUAGCAAUACUAGUUGUCGGCGAGCGGCGGACGGGUGAGUAACACGUAGGAAUCUGCCCUUAAGCGGGGGAUAACCAAGGGAAACUUUGGCUAAUACCGCAUAAUCUCGAGAGAGCAAAGCUGCCCGCAAGGGUGGCACUUGAGGCGGCGCCUGCGUCCGAUUAGCUAGUUGGUGGGGUAAUGGCCUACCAAGGCGAUGAUCGGUAACUGGUCUGAGAGGACGACCAGUAACACGGGGACUGAGACACGGCCCAGACUCCUACGGGAGGCAGCAGUGGGGAAUAUUGGACAAUGGGGGCAACCCUGAUCCAGCGAUGCCGCGUGAGUGAAGAAGGCCUUCGGGUCGUAAAGCUCUUUAGGUUGGGAAGAAGGGUAUUGGCUGAAUAAUCCAGUACUUUGACGGUACCGACAGAAUAAGCACCGGCAAACUCUGUGCCAGCAGCCGCAGUAAAAC